rnacentral:piRNA from 1 species
GAGUUACAUCCCAUGUUGUGUCCAG